AGUAAUCUACGUUGUACGUCCUCGGUGUCUGUACGAAGCAAUAAAGCCCGUCAUUUCUCAUCCGUACCCGAGGAUGCAAGAUGAUCGACAGAGAUCUCGAGAUCGAGUUGGAAAGGCUAAUCGUUGUAUAAGAAACAGAUGCGACGACGGAACUCGUAUAGUACGCAACUUCGAAAACGAGGAGGGUUAUUUCGUCACCCAUUUUAUCAGAAGCUGAGAUAGUCGACACGGUUGGCAAGGUUGCCGCUAGUAGACACGCUCGAGAGAGACCCCCUUGAGCUGAAGGAUACUCGAGAAAGCAUGUACGAGACCUUCCGCGUCUGUCUCUCCGCUUGGCUAGACGGACUUGACGACAUUUGUUAACAAAGAAGAACGACACUCGAUGAUCCGCGUGGUCGAGUUUCGAGAGACACGCAGAAGAGGCAGAAAAGAGUGGCGGCAUCAAAAUUCGCGUGAUAGGCGAAUCAAUUCGAUUCGCUGAUAUACAAACGUGUCGUUCGAUUCCACUGGUUGCGAUUGUUUUUCUCGAAAGCCGUGUGUGAAAGGAGGCUGCGGUCGGUAAACCGCCCUACGGUAUGUUUCCAAGUGGCAACCUCUUUCCCAACUCUCGAACAAACGGUGAAAGCGAACAAAGUGGAAUCACCGCUUAAAACAAAUUGCUUCUGUAAAUACCGGUCGGAUCUCCGAGCAGCCUGUCUAACGUUCAACGUCUGUUUCUACCUCCACGGUUUGCCAACACGAGAAUCUCUUUCCUUCGAUGGUUUAUCGAAGACACUGAUUAAGGCUAGAACCCUCGACACGGCCGGAUCUUUCCGAAAUUUUAGACGUUCGAUACAAGAGGCUAAUGGAAAACAUCGCUCGUUAAAGGUUUACUCUACAAACCGAUACAUUUUCCAUAUGUAAUACGAACGACGUUUAAUCAUCAAAGCGUUCUAUCGCGUGGGACCAAUUUCUACUUUGAAACGUGUCGUACAAAAUUAAUUUCGAAGCGCGAUGGUUUCGAUCGAUGAUAAUUUUCGCGUUACCGUUUACUCGGAUCAACGAGAGCAGAUGAAAUAACGAGAGAAGAAAUAAUGCGAGAGGAUAAAGCGAACCGAAAGGCAAGAAAAAGUCAGAGAGGAUAGGAAAACUUGUUACCUCAAAUCCCAAAGUAGCAUGGGCGCUAAUGUAAUAUACAUUCAUGAGCACCAAAUCAACCCUUUCCAUUGUCCAACAAAAUUUGCCAGAGAACACAAUGAAGACCAUCCCAUCUAACACCUCUACCUACUUCAUCUGCUUUUCUCUUGUAUCCUUUUCGCUACCUUUAUCCCCGGGCUUCGUCUGUCUCUUCCUUUUUACUCCUCCCCUCUAUUUCCUCUUUCUCGGCCCGCACUAGUCAUACGUUAACUCGGAAUGCCUCGUAGAUUUAUUCGCAGCAUGUAAUUGGUCCAUUUCUCUCGAGAUUCUUGUCGCCCAAAGCUUUAAGUUUUACUUCGCGCUUUAACUGUAUUUGAAAUAGCAGCAAGGUGAAAAUUUCGCCGUAGGACACGAUUCUUUAGAUUCCUAUUUACGUAGUUUUCCGUCGUGAAUCGAUUAUAACUUGGACGUCGAUUGACGCGUUGGUAGAGAUAUCUUCCUCCUCCUCUUCGUACAAAUAAAUUUUACAUCUUGACAGACACCUUCCUCUUUUCUCCUGUUCUUCCCGAUCUUUCUUUCUUCUUUCUUAUUAUCGCAAUAUCAGAAUGAAUUAAUCUAUAAAUGCUCGGAUCAUACUAAAUUCAUACCGAGGAUCUUGUUGACGAUACCCGACAAUUACUAAUGGGAAACAUUGCUCGCUCGUUUAUCUCUUAUUUCCUACUUGUUCCUGCAUUCUGUCUAGACUCGUUCCACCGGAAAGUUAAGCUUAUUGAUCACGCGCUCAAUUACUUCACCGAAGCUUUCCAGAUACUCAGCAACGACCAUUCCAUUUGCAUUUCUUGCAUUUCUCGCUAUUGAGUUUUUCCUUUUUCGUUUGUUACUUCUUUUGAUCGCUUCGUUAACGAUUUCACCAACCGCGGAUCUUUUUCAAAUCGAACAGCAGAUUGCUAAUGAACGUUCAUUCGCGAUCGAAUUCACUUUCCAUUUCCGACAGUUCAUCGUUUGCGAACUAUUCGAAAGUUGCACUUGCAAUAAAUGGAAUAUACGAAUCCUUGAUCUGUAGCUGGAAGAUCGUAACGUAAGAUAAAAAUCUGAUACAAAUAAAAAAAAGAGAAUGAUAUUUUUGUAAUGAAAACUAAAGUUUUGUUACGGUCUGAAGAGUUGGACUAUACAUAAACCCAGUCGACGUUACGGGAUUGAUUCUUCUUCUUCUUCUUCCUCUUCCUCUUCCACUUCUUUCACCUCUUCUUCUGCCUUUUCUCCUUGAAAGAAAAGUUCCGACUAACGGACCCGGCUUCCCUCCGGGAGUUUUAUUACGCUGGAGACGCGCUUAUCCUAGCCACAGAUUCGCGCCAACAUAUCCUCGGCUGUCGAUAAGUCUACGACCGUACGAGAAAAAAGGACGACGACGGAAAGAAAAAAGCAAGUAGAAAUAACUGAAGAGUACGGUAAGAACAGAUUCCAGAAUCGUUUCUUAUCGGAUACUAGAUUUUAUAUUUCUUCGUUUCCUCUAUCGUUUCGUAAAUACUUGCUAGUUACCGUCAUCGAUCCGACUGCGAAUUCGAUCGCGUGUAACAAAACGAACGAACGAAAGAUCGAUAGAGCGACUAAUAGAAAAGCCGUUUCCCGAAUGGAAGAAAACACUGUAUACAUAUAGAGAAAC